ACCCAAUAUGCCCUAAGGGGUGAAAGAAAUUCGCCUGAAAAGGAGCUCGCGUCCGAUUAGUUAGUUGGUGGGGUAAGAGCCUACCAAGGCGGCGAUCGGUAGCUGGUCUGAGAGGAUGAGCAGCCACACUGGGACUGAGACACGGCCCAGACUCCUACGGGAGGCAGCAGUGGGGAAUUUUCCGCAAUGGGCGCAAGCCUGACGGAGCAAUACCGCGUGAGGGAGGAAGGCUUUUGGGUUGUAAACCUCUUUUCUCAAGGAAGAAGACAGUGACGGUACUUGAGGAAUCAGCAUCGGCUAACUCCGUGCCAGCAGCCGCGGUAAUACGGAGGAUGCAAGCGUUAUCCGGAAUCAUUGGGCGUAAAGCGUCCGCAGGUGGCCUGUCAAGUCUGCUGUCAAAGACUAGAGCUCAACUCUGGAAAGGCAGUGGAAACUGGGAGGCUAGAGUACGGUAGGGGUAGAGGGAAUUCCCAGUGUAGCGGUGAAAUGCGUAGAUAUUGGGAAGAACACCAGUGGCGAAGGCGCUCUACUGGGCCGUAACUGACACUCAGGGACGAAAGCUAGGGUAGCGAAUGGGAUUAGAUACCCCGGUAUUCAAAACGC
rnacentral:rRNA from 1 species